rnacentral:rRNA from 1 species
GACGAACGCUGGCGGCGUGCUUAACACAUGCAAGUCGAACGAUGAAGCCUUUCGGGGUGGAUUAGUGGCGAACGGGUGAGUAACACGUGGGUAAUCUGCCCUGCACUCUGGGAUAAGCCCGGGAAACUGGGUCUAAUACCGGAUAUGACUUUCUUACGCAUGUAGGAAGGUGGAAAGUUCCGGCGGUGCAGGAUGAACCCGCGGCCUAUCAGCUUGUUGGUGGGGUAGUGCCUACCAAGGCGACGACGGGUAGCCGGCCUGAGAGGGCGACCGGUCACACUGGGACUGAGACACGGCCCAGGCUCCUACGGGAGGCAGCAGUGGGGAAUAUUGCACAAUGGGCGAAAGCCUGAUGCAGCGACGCCGCGUGA